GGUUGAUCCUGCCAGUAGUCAUAUGCUUGUCUCAAAGAUUAAGCCAUGCACGUGUAAGUUUAAGCGAGAAAGCCCUGCCAGACUGCGGAUGGCUCAGCAGUCGGCUAUAACCACUUCGUCUUCUGGCAUCCUUUCUCUUUUUCCUCUUCAUUUCCUGGAGUUUUAUUCCAAAAUGACUUCUUCUUCUUUCCUUUCCACUCUUUUUAAUUUUGGAUAACUCUGGCAAAUCUAGAGCUAAUACAUGCUUAUUUCAUUUACACGUUGCAAAGGUUAACUCUUUGAAAAAAAGUAAA
rnacentral:rRNA from 1 species